CCUCAAUGAAGACGACGUUGGCUCUACUGAUACUCCAAGUGUUAAUUGAGUUGAGCAGUUCGAAUUUAAUUCGUGAGGAACAUUUUUCUCAGGAAACAAAGGUUGUUUGAGCUUCUGAAGAUCAUGGAGAAAUAACGAGGAAUCAAAUGCACCUGAGUCUUCCGAAGUUCCUGAAACUGUUA